rnacentral:rRNA from 1 species
CGUAGGUGGCAAGCGUUGUCCGGAUUUAUUGGGCUUAAAGGGUGCGUAGGUGGCCUUGUAAGUCAGUGGUGAAAUAUCUCAGCUUAACUGAGAGGGUGCCAUUGAUACUGCAGGGCUUGAGUACAGAUGAGGUAGGCGGAAUUGACGGUGUAGCGGUGAAAUGCAUAGAUAUCGUCAAGAACACCGAUAGCGAAGGCAGCUUACCAAGCUGUAACUGACACUGAGGCACGAAAGUGUGGGGAUCAAACAGGAUUAGAUACCCUGGUAGUCCACACUGUAAACGUUGAUGACUCGAUGUUGGCGAUACACAGCCAGCGUCCAAGAGCAAUCGUUAAGUCAUCCACCUGGGGAGUACGCCGGCAACGGUG